UACGUAGGGGGCAAGCGUUGUCCGGAUUUAUUGGGCGUAAAGAGCGUGUAGGCGGCCAUGUAGGUCCGUUGUGAAAACUCGAGGCUCAACCUCGAGACGCCGAUGGAAACCAUGUGGCUAGAGUCCGGAAGAGGAGAGUGGAAUUCCUGGUGUAGCGGUGAAAUGCGCAGAUAUCAGGAAGAACACCCGGGGCUAAGGCGGCUCUCUAGUACGGUACUGACGCUGAGACGCGAAAGAGUGGGGAGAGAACAGG
rnacentral:rRNA from 1 species